rnacentral:rRNA from 1 species
UAGGGAAUCAUCCACAAUGGACGAAAGUCUGAUGGUGCAAUGCCGCGUGAGCGAAGAAGGUUUUCGGAUCGUAAAGCUCUGUUAUGAGGGAAGAACAAGUACAAGAGUAACUGCUUGUACCUUGACGGUACCUCAUUAGAAAGCCACGGCUAACUACGUGCCAGCAGCCGCGGUAAUACGUAGGUGGCAAGCGUUGUCCGGAAUUAUUGGGCGUAAAGCGCGCGCAGGCGGCCUUUUAAGUCUGAUGUGAAAGCCCACGGCUUAACCGUGGAAGGUCAUUGGAAACUGGAAGGCUUGAGGACAGAAGAGAAAAGCGGAAUUCCACGUGUAGCGGUGAAAUGCGUAGAGAUGUGGAGGAACACCAGUGGCGAAGGCGGCUUUUUGGUCUGUAACUGACGCUGAGGCGCGAAAGCGUGGGGAGCAAACA